AUUGAGAGCCAUUGGAUGAAUCCGUCUUUCCUUAUUGGAUGACUAGAAAAAUAGUGAAAUAUGGGCAGAGGGGAAGAAAUGGGACUUCUAUAGACUUUAAAGGAACUGGAGAGUUGAUAGUUUUGAAGGAUGAAUCUAGUGUAUAAUGUCAGAGAACAUACACUCAUGACAGGAAGAAGGGCUGCCGAGGGAAUCAGCAGAUUGCAAAGGCCUUGAAUGCAGAUAUGGAAGCUGAAUUUGGUGUGUUUACCACAGUGCACGGAUGGGGGCAAAGGACAACUUGUGGGAGUUAGUUCUCUUCUUCUACCACAUGCAUCCCAGGGACCAAUGUAGCAUUAGCUACCAUAGUUAGUCACAGCCUGAUUCAGACACAAAGGCUUCACAUAUCUUUGUUUCCUCAGCAAGGAAAACAUGUGAAGAGGAGUCAGCAGAUGAACAGUGGUAUGAGCUGCUUUCUGACAUACGUAUUCAUAUAUUUAAAGAACAACUACUUCUUAACUCAAGGAAAGUACCUCGUGGUGGGAAUUUCAGGUCGUGGAUACCCUUGCAACCACACCCGUGAAGCAGCAGCCUGUUUGAUUGGUGUGUUGUUGGCCUGGUCUAAUUAUAGCAAUUAUGACAAAUGGCUUUGAUGUUUGAGGCUGAAAAGGGAACUAAUACUUCCUAAUGAAGCCGGGUUACAUUUGCAUGAAAGCAGAGGUGUUCUACAGAGCUAUGUGCAUUCAGAGGGAGCCACAAUUGUAUAGCUUUUGACUCCACAAGUCUUGAUCUUAGCAAAAGAACUGAAACUAUCCUGUCUUUCAUCUUUAGUCUGGUUAAAAGAUCAAGCCAAUUUGUUUUCUGAGUACUAUUGCUUUAAAAAAAAUAAUUGUAGACACUGUCUUGGAAUUAUUUUGUUUUAUAUAUAACAAUUGCUAAGGCCCAGGGUUGGUGAGGUUAUCAGCAAAAAAAGACCUUGGAAUUUGGGGACUAUGGAGGAAACACUUAUGGAAAGAGGCUUCCUAGAAAUAAAAUUACUAAUGAGCAACUGAAACUGUGGUUUUUCUCCCCAAGGGACUGGUGAGGUGACCCUAUCAUAAAGCUCCAACUUUCCACUCCCUACUUUCAAUUUCUUCUCACUACCACAUCCUCCUUAUUAUCUGAAUCGAUGGGGGGAGUUUUAGGUGCAGCCUGAAUCCUUCCUGAUUUGAGUCAAAUAAGAAAAAAGUACAGAAAGGAGAUAUGGUUUUGAGAACAAAGGGAAACUGACUAAAUGUGAGAUCUUCAGUCACUGCAGAGUUGGGAGUGAGCAUUUUUAAUUUUAUUAUGCUGACAGUUCCUGGAGAUAAAAGAUAGCAGAGCUUUGCUCCUAGCCAGAGAGUCAAUCAGGCAUUAAGUGACGUCAUCGCCUUGGAUUUUACUUGUGUGACUUCCUGCUGAGAAGCAUGUCAACAAUUACCUGUUGCAGGGCUUAAAAGUAUUUCUAACAAUAGAAAAAACAGUAAUAAUGAAAUAGACUUCUUUUUUUCUGAGACACAGUAUCAUCUAUUACAAGCUGGCCUUCAAUGUAGCAGAAGAGGACCCUGAACUUCUGAUUCUCUUGCCUUCACCUGAUUGGGAUUACAUGACCACUAUGCCCAAUGUAUGUGGUGCUAUCCAUCAACCAAGAACUUCACACAUAAUGGAUGAGCACUCUACCAGUUCUUUCAGAUGGGAACAAUUCUGGCUCAGAGUUUUGACUGUGAGAGGUCUACCCAUCCCUCCACCCGAUGUCCUGCCUUUCUACUGGAGGUAAACUAUACAAGUUCCCUGUCCCCACUGUUGGGCAUUUCUUCUAAGGUCCCUCCCUUGGAGUCCUGAGAGUCUCUCACCUCCCAGGUUUCUCGUUUUCUUCAGAUGCAUAUAUCUGAAGAUAUAUACAAAGUCAGGUUUUUGGAGAUCUGCUGUGAGCCGAUGGCUGCAGGUCUAACUAACCGCUACUUUUUUCUCCUGAGGGUAAACUUGCUUUGUUGCUGGGUUAAGGGAACCAGAAAGACUCUGUUCCUCAUUGGCUGUCUCAGAGAAACGGCCUUCACUUGACAAUUAUCACUUUCAGAGAAAAACUUGGGUUGUGCAAAUGGAGUCAGUGUUCCCGAUUCCUUCUGGAGCAAGAAGUCCCCAUAUAAAACGAAGGCCACUGUGGUUUGUGUACAGAAUGAACACUGGUGCAGCAUGUGUGUGGCUUCCACAGCUUUGGAAUCUCCUUUGGUGAUAGGAAGAGUUGGUGCCUGGAGGUACAGUACCAGCCCCUACCUUGAGCCUUUCAUCUUUGUACGUUACAUCUGAAAUCUCAGGAACUAACUCAAAUUAAAUAUAAUCAUUAUACUUGACCCCAACCUGUUGCUAGGUGUGGUUGCAGAACUGCUUUCAUUUCUGAUAGAUGCCCUUUGAUAAUGAAGUAACACAACCUUUCCAGUUGUUAGCAAUGCUUUUCCACAGCUGCCCUCAGGAAAAGGUCCUGCCCAGCUCGGCAAGCAUGCUUGUGUUUUGUAUUAGUACUUGUCCAUAGAAGGAGGAGAGAUGUAGACAGGCAGAAAUCUUAUACUUAGUCAGAGCGAAGCCAACAUGAUCCGGUCCUUCUCACCCCAUGAAGUCAAAAACCCAGGGGACUGUGGCCCUGUCUUUUCAUGGUUCGCCUAGUAGAAAGAAAAAAAAAGGCCUCAUUUUCUCAAAAAGUGCAAAACAAGAUGUCUAAACCUUCAAGGUAGAAACUGGCAUUAGCUAGUAUUUUAUUCUGGGAACAAAAACAAAAACAAACAAACAAACAAAAAAAGAAAACCAGACCAUUUUUCUGUAAUGUGGUAAAAUAGUUCAACAAAGUAUCAACUCCUGGGUUGGAGAGAAGCCCUGUGCUUUUGUUGAUAUUAAUAUCUUAAGCAUGUAGAAAUAUUUAUAAUUUAACUUUAAGGGGGAAUGAAAACAGAAAAAUGUUACAAACCCAUUUUAUAAAAUCUGAGAAAAGCCCACCUAUUGUUAAAAAGAUUGAGGGGUGGGAGAGAGCCCAGCUUGUAAAGCGUUUGCUAUACAAGCAUGGGACCCCAGUUCAAUCCCCAGAACCUGCUUUACAAAGCCUGCUGUGGUAUCCCAGGCUUCUAAUCCAAAAACUGGCCCAACUCCAGACCCAAUGGCUGGCCAGCCAACCCUGCUUGGCAAGAUCCAGGCCAAUGAGAAACCCUGUCUCAAAAGACAAGGUGGACAGUGGGUGAAAAAUGACACCUCUGGCUUCCACACGAUGGGUGGACACACCCGUGUGCAUCUGCCUCCUUUCCCCUACUCACAGUCCCAUGAGGCUUGAAGGGCACAGGAAGACAUUUUCUCUGAAUACCGGCAUCAUUUACUGGUAAUGAUGGCCUUUUCUACUCCUCACUUACUCUUUAUUUUUACAGCGAUGGAACUCUAUUCCUUUAGGAGAAAGCUCUUGUUUAUUCUGAGAAUAAAUAUUGUCCAUUCUAAGACUGCACAAAUGAAAUAGUCCACGAGCUUCUCUGCCAACAGACAUGAAACAGGAAAAAAAAGAUGUCGCUUUGGGAAAGAGCAAGUUUGAAUAUUAUCUUCCUUUAUCCUAAAGGUCAAUAAGCUCCUUUUCUAAAGAGCCAGGCAGUAAGUACUUUGUACUUUGUGAGCCACACACUGCCCCAGGUACAGCCCUGCUCUGCCAUGGAGGUGCCCAAGUGGUGACACAUACUGAGUGAGUGGACAUGGCUGUGUGCUGUGACUGUGUGAGUGGACAAUGAAAUCUGAAUUUCAUAGGUUACAAAAUAGUUUCUUUUAAUUUUUGUUCCACACUCUUAAAGACAUAAGAAUCAUCUGUAGGUGGGUCUUACACACCAGAAGACAGUCCUCCAGUCAAUUAUUCUCUACUGUAUACUUGUAUGUUUUCCAGAAAUUUUAAAUUUGAAGAUGCCUUUUCUUACAUUUUAGUUUUAAUAAGCUUAACACUGUUAUUUUUUUUAAACUUUUUGUUUGUUUUUGUUUUGAGACAGGAUCUCUCUAUGUAACACCCUGGUUUUCCUGGAACUUGGUAGACCAGGCCUCAAACUCGCAGAGAUCCAUCUGCCUCUGUUCUGGGAUUAAAGCCAUGGAGACAGCAUCCUGUCAGGAGACCUGGGCCGGAGUAACGCCAACACCUUAGUGAUCCAAGUCAUCACGGGUGGACUCCUGCAAUGACAGAUCUGUUGCUAUGUUCCCUGCUAAACCAGCAAGGGUCACAGGGUUUCAUUGCUGUGAAGAGACACCGUGACCAAGGCGACUCAUAUAAAGGUAAUCAUUUAAUUGGGGGUGGCUUAACAGUUUCAGAGGUUCAGUGCAUUAUUAUCAUGGCAGGAAGCAAGGGAGUCUGCAGGCAGACAUGGUGCUGGAGGAGCCCAGAAUUCUGCAUCUUGACCCAAAGGCACUCAGGAGAGGACUCUUCUGCACUGGAUAGAGGCUGAAUAUGGGACCUCCAAGCCCACCCUGCAAUGACACACCUCUUCCAAUAAUGCCACACCUCUAAUAGUGCUACUUCCCACUGGCCAAGCGUAUUCAAACCACCACAGGGCCCUCUUAGGUCAAGCAUAAUCAGAUGGCCAGGAGAGAGCCACGGUCCUUGCUCCCUGGCAGAGAUGAAGAAUAUUUCAACUAUGAAACAAUUUCAAACUUGUCUCUGAGGCUAUUUUGUAAGUAGUUGUUGCUGGAAUCACAAAUGGGAAAAUUGUACUUGUUUGGCAGAAAAAACAGUGGUUUUUGUGGGGUGGUGGCUUUUUGUUAUUUAUGUAUAUGAGCUUCAUUUACAUGUACACCUGCACGCCAGGACAUCAGAUCCCAUUAUAGAUGGUUGUAAGUCACCCUGUGGUUGUUGUUAAUUGAAUUCAGGACCUCUAGAGAAACAGGGCAGUCAGUGUUCUUAACCACUGAGCCAUCUCUCCAGCCUCCAGGGUUUUAAUUUUAAAGCAGGGUACCCAUCUUAGUCAGGGAUUCAAUAGCUAUGAAAAGACACCAUAGCCACCACAAAUCUUAUAAAGGCAGCCAUUUAACUGGGGCUGACUUACAGUUCAGAGGUUUAGUCUAUUGUUAUGGGAAACAUGGCGGCCUGCAGGCAGAUGUGGUGUUGAAGAGGUAACUGAGAGUUCUAAUCAGGAUUAGCAGACAGCAGGCAGAGAGAACCGACACAGGGCCUAACUUGAGCUUCUGACACAAACCUUGAAGACUACCCCCAAGUGACACACUUCCUUCAGCAAGAUGAUACCAACUCCAACAGGGACAAGACCUCCUAAAAAUGCCAGUCCUCAUGAGCCUGUGGGGGCCCUUUCCAUUCAAAGCCCCUGUUCCCUUAUAUUACUCUUCCUGUCGUAGUACAUGUUCUCUGGGACUUUUAAAUUGGGUGGUAAUGACCUGGUAGGGGUGGUCAAAAAGAGAUGUGUGUUUGCGCGCGCGCGCG